CGCCAGCCUGACGGAGCCAGACCGCGUGGGGGAAGAAGGUUCUUGGAUUGUAAACCCCUUUUCUCAGGGAAGAAGUUCUGACGGUACCUGAGGAAUCAGCAUCGGCUAACUCCGUGCCAGCAGCCGCGGUAAUACGGAGGAGGCAAGCGUUAUCCGGAAUUACUGGGCGUAAAGCGUCCGUAGGGGGCUCGUCAAGUCUGCUGUCAAAGCUCGGAGCUCAACUCCGACCCGGCAGUGGAAACUGGGGAGCUAGAGGGCGGCAGGGGCAGAAGGAAUUCCCGGUGUAGCGGUGAAAUGCGUAGAUAUCGGGAAGAACACCAGAGGCGAAAGCGUUCUGCUGGGCCGCGCCUGACCCUGAGGGACGAAAGCCAGGGGAGCG
rnacentral:rRNA from 1 species